rnacentral:rRNA from 1 species
CCUACGGGUGGCUGCAGUGGGGAAUAUUGGGCAAUGGAGGCAACUCUGACCCAGCAACGCCGCGUGAAUGAUGAAGGUCUUCGGCUUGUAAAGUUCUGUGAUGGGGGAUGAACACAAUGACGGUACCCCAAUAGCAAGCCACGGCUAACUACGUGCCAGCAGCCGCGGUAAUACGUAGGUGGCAAGCGUUAUCCGGAAGGACUGGGCGGAAAGGGGGCGUAGGUGGUUAAGUAAGUUAGCGGUGAAACUCCGGGGCUCAACCUCGGCGCUACCGCCAAAACUAUUAGACUAGAGUGCAGGAGGGGUAAGUGGAAUUCCUAGUGUAGCGGUGGAAUGCGUAGAUAUUAGGAGGAACACCAGGGGCGAAGGCGACUUACUGGACUGUAACUGACGCUGAGGCACGAAAGCGUGGGGAGCAAACAGGAUUAGAUACCCGUGUAGUC